CAUGCAAGUCGAACGCCCGUAGCAAUACGGGAGUGGCAGACGGGUGAGUAACACGUGGGAACAUGCCUUUCGGUUCGGAAUAACCCAGGGAAACUUGGGCUAAUACCGGAUACGCCCUUCGGGGGAAAGAUUUAUCGCCGAAAGAUUGGCCCGCGUCCGAUUAGCUAGUUGGUGGGGUAAUGGCCCACCAAGGCGACGAUCGGUAGCUGGUCUGAGAGGAUGAUCAGCCACACUGGGACUGAGACACGGCCCAGACUCCUACGGGAGGCAGCAGUGGGGAAUAUUGGACAAUGGGCGCAAGCCUGAUCCAGCCAUGCCGCGUGAGUGAUGAAGGCCCUAGGGUUGUAAAGCUCUUUCGGCGGGGAAGAUAAUGACGGUACCCGCAGAAGAAGCCCCGGCAAACUUCGUGCCAGCAGCCGCGGUAAUACGAAGGGGGCUAGCGUUGCUCGGAAUUACUGGGCGUAAAGCGCACGUAGGCGGAUUCUUAAGUCAGGGGUGAAAUCCCGGAGCUCAACUCCGGAACUGCCUUUGAUACUGAGAGUCUCGAGUCCGGGAGAGGUGAGUGGAACUCCGAGUGUAGAGGUGAAAUUCGUAGAUAUUCGGAAGAACACCAGUGGCGAAAGCGGCUCACUGGCCCGGUACUGACGCUGA
rnacentral:rRNA from 1 species